GGGAAGGUGGCUCAGUGGUAGAGCGCUUGCCUUGCAUGCAUUUUAAGCCCUGGGUUCGAUUCCUCAGCACCCCA
rnacentral:tRNA from 1 species